CUGAACCAGCAACUUGGAGGAAUGUAUAGCAAUAGCUACUUGCAUCAUUACAAUGAUGAUGCAAGAUCGACUAUGUUGAAUAAAAUUCUAGGUAGAAUUAUGAUAAUGACAUUGUCUGCCUAUGUGUCUUGACCAAAUUACGUGCCAGCAGUCGCGGUAAUACGUAGAAGACUAGUGUUAUUCAUGUUUAAUCGGUUUAAAGGGUACCUAGACGGCAGAUCAAGCUUUCGAUGAAAUAAAAUUAAAGGAAAAGGACUAAUAUGCUAGAGUUACUUAUGAGGGGGCAUUAAAGUACUGCUGGUGUAGAGAUGAAAUUCUGUCAUACCUCUCUUCAAAAGAAGAAUGAUGGCACAGGUAUAGGCGAAGGCAUCCCCUUAUGUGAUAACUGACGUUGAGGGACGAAGGCUUUGUGUAGCGAACAGGAUUAGAUACCCCAGUAGUCGAAGCAGAAAAUGAUGAAUGUCAUAGAUUAGAUAUAAGUUUAUUCUAUAAAUGAAAGUGUAAGCAUUCCACCUCAUGAGUAAUUUGGCAACAUUGGAACUGAAAUCAUUAGACCGUUUCUGAAACCAGUAGUGAAGUAUGUUGUUUAAUUUGAUGAUCCGCAAAAAACCUUACCACAAUUUGAAUAUUUAUAUUUUUUUUUGUUGUUUCCUUAUUAAUUUUCUUCUAAUAACAAACGAAACGUGCAAACAAUCAAGAGACACAAUCAAUAAUUAGAAGAAAUCUAAUAAAGAGGCAAUAAGAUAUAUUUACAAGCGUUGCACGGCUGUCUUCAGUUAAUGUCGCGAGACUUUGGUUAGUUCCAUUAAAUUAACGUAAACCCUUACUUUAUUUUUAUAUAGAGUAGUUCCCCGCUAUAUUGGAGAUGAUAACAGGGACUAAGACAAGUCAUCAUGGCCUAAAUAUUGUGGGCUAUAGACGUGCCACAUAAACCUUACAAAAGGGUGUGAAAUUGU
rnacentral:rRNA from 1 species